rnacentral:rRNA from 1 species
AGGCGUCGAGUGGCGGACGGGUGAGUAACGCGUAGGAAUCUGCCAGAUAGUGGGGGAUAGCCCGGAGAAAUCCGGAUUAAUACCGCAUAAUCUCCAUGGAGUAAAGAGGGCCUCUAUUUAUAAGCUUUCGCUAUCUGAUGAGCCUGCGUAAGAUUAGCUAGUUGGUGGGGUAAUGGCCUACCAAGGCGACGAUCUUUAGCUGGUCUGAGAGGAUGAUCAGCCACACUGGGACUGAGACACGGCCCAGACUCCUACGGGAGGCAGCAGUGGGGAAUAUUGGACAAUGGGGGCAACCCUGAUCCAGCAAUACCGCGUGUGUGAAGAAGGCCUGAGGGUUGUAAAGCACUUUCAAUUGUGAAGAAAAGUUAAUAGUUAAUACCUAUUAGCCUUGACGUUAACUUUAGAAGAAGCACCGGCUAACUCCGUGCCAGCAGCCGCGGUAAUACGGAGGGUGCAAGCGUUAAUCGGAAUUACUGGGCGUAAAGCGUGCGUAGGCGGUUGACUAAGUCAGAUGUGAAAGCCCCGGGCUUAACCUGGGAACUGCAUUUGAAACUGGUCAACUAGAGUAUGGUAGAGGAAAGUGGAAUUUCUGGUGUAGCGGUGAAAUGCGUAGAUAUCAGAAGGAACAUCGAUGGCGAAGGCAGCUUUCUGGACCAAUCCUGACGCUGAGGUACGAAAAGCGU